rnacentral:rRNA from 1 species
AGGGAACUGAAACAUCUAAGUACCUGAAGGAAGAGAAAGCAAAUGCGAUUCCCCAAGUAGCGGCGAGCGAAACGGGAUCAGCCCAAACCAGAAGGCUUGCCUUCUGGGGUUGUAGGACACUCUAUACGGAGUUACAAAGGAACGGAUUAAGCGAAGCGACCUGGAACGGUCCGCAAGAUAGGGUAAUAGCCCCGUAGCUGAAAGUUCGUUCCCUCCAGAGUGGAUCCUGAGUACGGCGGAACACGAGAAAUUC